rnacentral:rRNA from 1 species
AACGAACGCUGGCGGCAGGCUUAACACAUGCAAGUCGAACGCCCCGCAAGGGGAGUGGCAGACGGGUGAGUAACGCGUGGGAACAUACCCUUUCCUGCGGAAUAGCUCCGGGAAACUGGAAUUAAUACCGCAUACGCCCUACGGGGGAAAGAUUUAUCGGGGAAGGAUUGGCCCGCGUUGGAUUAGCUAGUUGGUGGGGUAAAGGCCUACCAAGGCGACGAUCCAUAGCUGGUCUGAGAGGAUGAUCAGCCACAUUGGGACUGAGACACGGCCCAAACUCCUACGGGAGGCAGCAGUGGGGAAUAUUGGACAAUGGGCGCAAGCCUGAUCCAGCCAUGCCGCGUGAGUGAUGAAGGCCUUAGGGUUGUAAAGCUCUUUCACCGAUGAAGAUAAUGACGGUAGUCGGAGAAGAAGCCCCGGCUAACUUCGUGC